AACGAACGCUGGCGGCAUGCCUAACACAUGCAAGUCGAACGAGACCUUCGGGUCUAGUGGCGCACGGGUGCGUAACGCGUGGGAACCUGCCCUUAGGUUCGGAAUAACUCCCCGAAAGGGGUGGUAAUACCGGAUAAUGUCUUCGGACCAAAGAUUUAUCGCCUUUGGAUGGGCCCGCGUUGGAUUAGCUAGUUGGUAGGGUAAAAGCCUACCAAGGCGACGAUCCAUAGCUGGUCUGAGAGGAUGAUCAGCCACACUGGGACUGAGACACGGCCCAGACUCCUACGGGAGGCAGCAGUGGGGAAUAUUGGACAAUGGGCGAAAGCCUGAUCCAGCAAUGCCGCGUGAGUGAUGAAGGCCUUAGGGUUGUAAAGCUCUUUUACCCGGGAUGAUAAUGACAGUACCGGGAGAAUAAGCGCCGGCUAACUCCGUG
rnacentral:rRNA from 1 species